UACAGAGGGGGCAAGCGUUGUUCGGAAUUACUGGGCGUAAAGGGCGCGUAGGCGGCCGCCUAAGUCAGACGUGAAAUCCCUCGGCUCAACCGGGGAACUGCGUCUGAUACUGGGUGGCUUGAAUCCGGGAGAGGGAUGCGGAAUUCCAGGUGUAGCGGUGAAAUGCGUAGAUAUCUGGAGGAACACCGGUGGCGAAGGCGGCAUCCUGGACCGGUAUUGACGCUGAGGCGCGAAAACCAGGGGAGCAAACGGG
rnacentral:rRNA from 1 species